rnacentral:sRNA from 1 species
CGCAUAAAAAAAAAUUUGUCUACGGUUAAGGUGUUCACAGACCUCUAGUUCCGGACUGAAGUGUGGAAAGUUUGGAGCCACAUCGAUACAGAUCGAUGUGAAUCACCAUCAAAGAGGAAGUUAAUUAGCAUGCAGCUGACUUAUUCCGAUGGCCUAGCGAUACAGUACAGAUGUAUAUGGACUACGCUCGUAUACCAUCAAUCCCAGCGAUAUAUGUAUAUACCAGAACGCCAAUUGAAAUUAGCUGGAAACCACAUAUGCCAUAUGAUCUCCUUUAUCCGCACUUCUCCACCCUCUGCGAUAUUUGCCAUUACUAUUUACUUUGUUGCUGAUUGUCGCCAACCUGUUGAGCAUGUGAGCAAAUAGCGGAGAAAAUACCUAAGCAAAUAGGAGCUUCGAUGGGCUUCCUGUAAUUGCGUUAAAUAUUUGCAUACAAGCGCCGGCAAUCGAACGCAGUGGGCUGGCUGGCUGGCACGAUUUCAAUUUGCAUUUUGUGCAUCGAUCUGGCGAUUCCGACUUCGAUGUCGAUCAAUCAAUCAACCAACCGAUGAUGACCUUCACACUGGCCAUGGUGGGCAAUCGCCGAGUACUGGCGCCAGGAGUGGGCGUGGCCUAUCACCUGAUAGUGAUCCAAAUUCGCACUUUAAGGGGCGUAACCGGGAAUGGUGCUAUCGCCCCCAAUCUGACCCACAAACACUGCGGGUUGCUGUACAGUUUACUUUUAUUAUCAAAUAUAUGGACAUUUGUUUAAAACUAGCACACAUAUGUAUACAUUUAGGUAUAUGUCUUUGCAAUCCUAAAAUAUGUUGAAAUACAGAAGGAGGUUUAUACAAAAAGGAGAGCACGUACAUAGGGUGGAAGUCCAUCGAAUCUUAUAUGAAUAUUUUCGGCUGACAAUGAGUACUUAGAAACUAGUUGAUCUAUACUACGUAACUGAACAUUGUGGAACAUCAUAAGUUAAGUUGUGCAUUUAGCCCAUUAUCGUCUUAAUUCUGAAGCAAUUCAGCAGUUUAAUACAAAACUAAAAAAAAUA